rnacentral:rRNA from 1 species
GCUUGCUUUCAAUGCCGGCGACCGGCGCACGGGUGCGUAACGCGUAUCAAACCUGCCUCAUACUCGGGGAUAGCCUUGCGAAAGUAAGAUUAAUACCCGAUGUUGUUGCUUUCUCGCAUGGGAGAGUAACCAAAGAUUUAUCGGUAUGAGAUGGUGAUGCGUCCGAUUAGGUAGUAGGCGGGGUAACGGCCCACCUAGCCUUCGAUCGGUAGGGGUUCUGAGAGGAAGGUCCCCCACACUGGAACUGAGACACGGUCCAGACUCCUACGGGAGGCAGCAGUGAGGAAUAUUGGUCAAUGGGCGAGAGCCUGAACCAGCCAAGUAGCGUGCAGGAUGACGGCCCUCCGGGUUGUAAACUGCUUUUAGUUGGGAAUAAAAAAAGGGACGUGUCCCUUCUUGUAUGUACCUUCAGAAAAAGGACCGGCUAAUUCCGUGCCAGCAGCCGCGGUAAUACGGAAGGUCCAGGCGUUAUCCGGAUUUAUUGGGUUUAAAGGGAGCGUAGGCGGAUUGUUAAGUCAGCGGUUAAAGGGUGUGGCUCAACCAUGCAUUGCCGUUGAAACUGGCGAUCUUGAGUGCAGACAGGGAUGCCGGAAUUCGUGGUGUAGCGGUGAAAUGCUUAGAUAUCACGAAGAACUCCGAUCGCGAAGGCAGGUGUCCGGGCUGCAACUGACGCUGAGGCUCGAAAGUGUGGGUAUCAAACAGGAUUAGAUACCCUGGUAGUCCACACAGUAAACGAUGUAUACUCGCGGUUUGCGAUAGAUUGUA